UACGUAGGGGGCAAGCGUUGUCCGGAAUCAUUGGGCGUAAAGAGCGUGUAGGCGGCCUGAUAAGUCGGCUGUGAAAGUCAAGGGCUCAACCCUUGAAUGCCGGCCGAUACUGUCAGGCUAGAGUCCGGAAGAGGCGAGUGGAAUUCCUGGUGUAGCGGUGAAAUGCGCAGAUAUCAGGAAGAACACCCGUGGCGAAGGCGGCUCUCUGGGACGGUACUGACGCUGAGACGCGAAAGCGUGGGGAGCGAACAGG
rnacentral:rRNA from 1 species